CCUACGGGAGGCAGCAGUGGGGAAUAUUGCACAAUGGGGGAAACCCUGAUGCAGCGACGCCGCGUGAGUGAAGAAGUAUUUCGGUAGGUAAAGCUCUAUCAGCAGGGAAGAAAAGGACGGUACCUGAGGAAGAAGCCACGGCUAACGACGGGCCAGCAGCCGCGGUAAGACGGAGGGGGCAAGCGUUAUCCGGAGUGACUGGGUGGAAAGGGCGCGUAGACGGCAGCGCAAGGCUGCAGGGACAUGCCGGGGCUUACCCCCGGAACUGCUUUGGAAACUGUGCAGCUAGAGUGCAGGAGAGGUAAGUGGAAUUCCUAGUGUAGCGGUGAAAUGCGUAGAUAUUAGGAGGACCACCAGUGGCGAAGGCGGCUUACUGGACUGUAACUGCCGUUGCGGCUCGCAAGCGUGGGGAGCAAACAGGAUUCGCUACCCUGGUAGUC
rnacentral:rRNA from 1 species